CGAAAACGAAAGUACUGAGAAAACACGCAGAAAACAAGAGAAAGCAUUGCUCGUUGGAUUUGAUCCAUUCCGUGUCCUAGAAAACAUGUUCCAGAUAUAAAUUUAACACAGACUCUACCGAUUUUAACACUCGUGGACAUUGUUUUUGUGUUUAUUCCGAUCCGUCUGUACCAUCAAGAGAUAUGAGAAUGAACUGCUGACAAGCUACAGGCCUAAAGGACAGAAAAAUGAGCGUUUCAGAUACUUAUAAAUGCUCUUCUUAGUGGACAAGACUGCUAGUCACACUGAACAGCUGAUCGCUGCAGUUUAUAAUUAAUAAUGAUAUAAUCGAGGAACAGAGAUGAGUCUCUCAGAGAAACAGAGUGUAAGAUCAGGAUCACAUGUGUCUGUGAAGAGUGACCGGUCAAAGAAUGCUGACCUACCGACCUUCAAUGAGAAAAACACAUCUAUCAAAAGUGUAAGAUCAGGAUCACAUGUGUUCAGCUCGGUGUCUGUGAAGAGUGACUGGUCAAAGAGUCACCCGCUGAACUUCAGUGAAGAACCAUCAUGGACCAAACGAUCCAGAUUUCCAGACUCACAGGAACCACAAGACUUUUACAGACAAUCUCCAGCAGAUCUUCCAGGAUCUUGAGAGCAAAAUAAUCACAUUUCUGAAGAAAGAGCUGGAAAAUUUUAAGAAAAUAUUACAAAAAGAGAACACACAAUGCUUUGUGAAGGACUUUAAUGAGAAUAGAAGCAGUAUCACAGAAGCAGCUCUUGAUCUCUCGCUCUGCUUCCUGAGAGAGAUGAAGCAAGAUGAAGCUGCUGAUACUCUAGAAGAUGAGCUGUUCUUCAUUCAUCAGCUGAAAUGUAGCUUAAAGAAGAAGUACCAAUGUGUGUUUGAAGGAAUCACAAAUCAAGGUGACUCCACACUUCUGGAGCCGCACCAAGGUGUUGGAUUAAACCAUACAGGGAUAUUGGGAUAUUUAUGACACUCAAACAGAACAACAAACUGGACGCUAAACAGUCAGGUUUCAGGAGUGGCCAUUCAACUGAGACUGCGCUUCUCUCGGUCACUGAAGCCCUGCAAUUGCAAAGCCCAUUCCAAAUCAUCAGUCCUCAUUCUGCUGGAUCUAUCUGCCGCGUUUGACACUGUCAAUCAUCAGAUACUCCUCUCCACUCUCUCAUCACUGGGCAUCGCUGGAAUUCCACUUCGCUGGUUUGAAUCCUAUCUCACUGAUGAUCCAACGGUAGCUGCAAGGAUCUCAGGUUGCCUGUCAGACAUCUCGGCAUGGAUGAAAGAACAUCACCUCCAGCUCAACCUGGCAAAGACUGAGCUUCUUGUCUUUCCUGCCGCUCAACUCUACAGCAUGACAUCACGAUCCAGUUAGGUUCAUCAACAAUUACCCCAUCAACUUCGGUCAGAAAUCUUGGUGUAAUCUUUGAUGACCAGCUGACCUUCAAAGACCACAUUGCAAAGACUGCUCGAUCUUGCAGGUUUGCACUACAACAUCAGAAAGAUCAGGCCCUUUCUGAAGGAGCAUGCUGCACAACUUCUUGUCCAGGCCCUUGUCAUUUCUAGGCUGGACUACUGCAAUGCCCUUCUGGCUGGACUUCCAUCAAACACAGUCAAACCUCUACAAAUGAUUCAGAAUGCGGCACGACUGGUCUUCAAGGAACCCAAAAGAGCCCAUGUUACACCUCUCUUUAUCUCAUUGCAUUGGCUACCAAUCGCAGCUCGCAUCAAGUUCAAGACACUGAUGCUUGCUCAUAGAACAACCACAGGCUCAGCACCCGCCUACAUGCACUCACUAUUAAGAAUCUACAUCCUCCAGAAAUCUGAGAUCUGCUAGUGAGCGACGCCUCGUGGUACCAUCACAAAGAGGCUCAAAAUCACUCUCCAGAACAUUCUCGUUCACCAUUCCUGGCUGGUGGAAUGAUCUUCCCACCCAUAUUCGAGUACUGGAUCCCUGUCAAUCUUCAAGCAACAGCUGAAAACUCAUCUCUUUCGACACUACUUGACUUCAACCUACACAUAAAAAAAAAAAAAAAAAAAAGUUUCUCCUUACUUAUUCCUUCCUUGCUAGCUUGUACUUAUUUAAACAAUGCCUGAGACUUGGUGUUACAAGCACUUCCUUUGUCGAAUUGCCUCUUCAAGAUGAAUCGCUUCAUGUGUUCCCCAAAUUGUAAGUCGCUUUGGAUAAAAGCGUCUGCAAAAUGACUAAAUGUAAAUGUAAAUGUAAAUGUAACAUUUAAAAUAAUUUACACAAUAUAUAUAUAUAUAUAUAUAUAUAUAUAUAUAUAUUUACCAUUGUGGUGAAGAGUGGAGCUUGUGUUUAGACUAUCAGUAGCUAUUAUAAGCACAUAAGUGUUAUAUAAUCAUGAAGAGUAGAAAUGCUGAUCAUAUAAGUCACGUGAUUGGCCUUAAAUUGAUGUAUUUUAAUUAUGCUCAUAAGAACAAACAACCAGCAUAACACUUGUUCUCACGUUAAACUUUUGCCAAAAGGCAAAUGAGCUAUAUAAAAAAAAUAUAAAUGUUGUUAGCUCAUUGAGAACAAACAGUUUUAGCUCAUGUAGCCAUAGCCUAACUACAAGGCCUACACUUCACAAUAAUGGUAACUUCAAAAAUCGGCAUAAACAAAAACUCUUUUAAAUGUCAAAAAUAGCUGAACAACAAACUUUAAAAAGUCUUUCCCUUUACUAAAAAAUACACAUCAAGCAGCACUUAAUUUACAGAUUUACACUCCUGAUCUAGCCCUAUGCAAAGCAUGCUGGGAACUAGAAAUCCACUUCCCAGUUUCAGGAUUUACAGAAGUUUCUGUUAUGUUCAUUUUGUAGUGUUACCGUUGUCGUGAAGAGUAGAGCCUGUGGUUAGGUUCAGGAUGGACAGCAAAACUUUAAGAUUGUGUGUGUUUCAUGUUGUUUGACUAUUUACAUGUAAAUGUAUAGUGAGAACAUUUUUGGUUAUCACAUUAGCAUAUGCUGUUGAUAAUUAACACUAAAAAAUGAAAGAUCAGCGUGAAUACGAUGUUUAUGUAAACAAACCACAUAUUUAUGUUUAAUCAUUUAGUAGACACUUUUAUCCAAAACGACUUACAAGUGAGGACAAUAGAAGCAAUCAAAACCAACAAAAGAGCAAUAAAAUGCAUGUGCUAUUACAAGUCGUGGUUAGCCUAACGCAGUACACGUCAAGUCACCUUUAUUUAUAUAGCGCUUUUAACAAUACAGAUUGUGUCAAAGCACUUAACAGUAUCAAAUUGGAGGACAGAGUGUCAGUAAUGAAUAAUGAUAAGAUUAAAUACUCAAUUUUCAGUUAAAGGCAUUUCAUUACUGAAUUCAGAGAUGUCAUUGUCUAGCUCAGUUUAGUUUAAAUAGUGUCUACGCAAUCAAAUGGACGAUAAUCGCUGUAAAUUAAUACACGUAACAAGGUGUGUUUUUUUAUACAUACAGUAUAUAUAUAUAUAUAUAUAUAUAUAUAUAUAUAUAGAUAGAUAGAUAGAUAGAUAGAUUUGGAAUAGAGUGUGUUAGAGUUAGAGGGUCAAAUAUAGAUGGACGAGAUGUGUUUUUAGCUGCUUCUUGAAGAUGGCUAAGGACUCAGCUGCUCAAAUUGAGUUGGGCAGGUCAUUCCACCAGGAGAGAACAGUUAAAGUAAAAGUCCGUGAAAGUGAUUUAGUGCCUCUUUGGGUACGUAAUUCUGAAGUAGUGAAUUUAGGUAAAGGGGUGCCGAGCCAGUGGUGGUUUUGUAGGCAAACAUCAAUGUCUUGAAUUUUAUGUGAGCAGCUAUUGGUAGCCAGUGCAAAUUGAUGAACAGAGGUGUGACGUGUUCUUUUCGGCUCUUUGAAGGAGUGAUGGUUGAUGUGUCUAACUGGAUGGUGAAAUUGUGAUGAAGUGGUUGGUUUGAUGGAACCACAAGCUGUUCUGUCUUGGCAAGGUUGAGUUGAAGGUGAUGGUCCUUAAUCCAGCAAGAAAUGUCUGUUAGACAAGCUGAGAUGCAAGCAGCUAUCAUCAGAUCAUCAGGAUGGAAUGAGGUAGAGUUGAGUGUCAUCAGCAUAGCAGUGAUAUGAAAAGCCAUGUUUCUGAAUGACAAAAUGUAGACAGUGAUUCCAUGUAGACAGAGAAUAUAAGUGGUCCAAGAACUGAGCCCUGAGGCACCCCAGCAGCUAGAUGUUGCGACUUGGACACCUCACCCCUCCAAGAUACCUUGAAGGACCUGUCUGAGAGGUAAUUGUCAAACCACUGGAGUGCGGUUCCUGAGAUGCCCUUUGCCAAUAGGGUUGACAGGAGGAUCUGGUGGUUGACCAUAUCAAAAGCAGUGGACAGAUCCAGCUAGUUAAGUAAUGGAGAUUUGGAAACCGCUCUUGCCAGUCUUAGGGCUUCAACAACUGAGAGCAAGGCAGUCUCGGUUUAAUGUCCACUUCUGAAACCAGACUGGUUGCUGUCGAGGAGGUUGUUCUGUGUGAGAAAGUCAGAGACUUGGUUGAACACAACUCGUUAAAGAGUUUUUGCAAUGAAAGGAAGAAGGGAAAAGAGUUCUUUAAAAGAGUUGGGUUAAGAGUGGGUUUCUUAAGUAGUGGGGUUAUACGAUCCUGUCUAAAUGCUGAGGGAAAAACACCAGUGUGAAUGAGAUGAAAUAUGAUGAGAUGAAAUAGAAUCAAGUGGACAAGUAGUAGGAUGAUUAGGAAGGAUGAGUUUAGAGACUUCUGACUCAGAGAGUGGAGAGAAGGAUGUGAACGAGUGUAUGUUUGCUGGUAAGAUGUGUUUGACAGUUUGAGUAAGAGAUGCUAACUGUUUAGAGCGAGGAAGCGAAGAUGAAAGUAAAACAGAGAGCCUGGAGGGUGAAUGUGAGCCUAGUUUACAUCGAAAGAUGACAUGCGGAGUGAUGACAUACCCAUGUGUUGUGUCAGGAACCAUGUUGAGGUUAAGAGUGAGCAGGAAGUGAUCUGAGGUGUGCAGUGGGGUAACCAGCACAUGAUCAGUGGAGCAGUGUCCUGAGAAUUAAUGCGAAAUUAUUGAAUUAAAUGAAAGAUUAUUAAAUAUAUAAUUAUCAUUGUAAUGCAUGGGGUGGGACUGAGAACCAUGAACGUGAGGCUUGGUGGCUCCCACGGCUCUCAGCCCCUCCCCUCUUGUCCCAAAAAUUUUAAGUGAAAGUGACGUGACGUGGCCAAGUAUGGUUACCCAUACUCGGAAUUUGUGUUCUGCAAUUAACCCAUCCAAAUUGCACACACACAGCAGUGAACGAAUGAACACACAGUGCAAAUGACAACUGAGCCACCUAUGAACCUUGAUCAGUCUCAAGAAACUUGGAUGAAGAAGAACAAACAUUUCCCAUCCACCAAUUCCAAAUGAUUUUCUGUUCCACAAAAAAAAAACAAACAAAAAAAAACAUGUUCCCCCCCAAAAAAGGAUCCACAAGUAUGUGACACAGAGCAAGAAAUGUUCAAGUUUUGAUGCAUGUCAGCUUCCUGCAAAGAUACUCAAUGUAGAGGAAGAGGUCGACAUGCUAUGGAAGAAGCCACCUACAGAGUUGAUAAGUCUCCUAGCCAGAAUCUGGAGUACCUGUUACAUCCCAAGGAAUUCCAAACACUGAGGCCACAUGAAUGGUUAUUUGGAGAGAAUACAUAUCAAA